GUGGGGAAUAUUGGACAAUGGGCGCAAGCCUGAUCCAGCCAUGCCGCGUGAGUGAUGAAGGCCUUCGGGUUGUAAAGCUCUUUAGUCCACGAAUAUAAUGACUGUAGUGGAAGAAUAAGCCCCGGCUAACUUCGUGCCAGCAGCCGCGGUAAUACGAAGGGGGCGAGCGUUAUUCGGAAUCACUGGGCGUAAAGCGUGCGUAGGCUGUUUUGUAAGUCAGAAGUGAAAGCCCAGGGCUUAACCCUGGAAUUGCUUUUGAAACUACAAGACUCGAAUUCGGGAGAGGAUAGCGGAAUUGUCAGUGUAGCAGUGAAAUGCGUAGAUAUUGACAGGAACACCAGUGGCGCAAGCGGCUAUCUGGACCGAUAUUGACGCUGAGGCACGAAAGCGUGGGGAGCAAACAGGAUUAGAUACCCGAGUAGUCC
rnacentral:rRNA from 1 species